rnacentral:misc_RNA from 1 species
GAUGAAGAACGCAGCAAAAUGCGAUAAGUAAUGUGAAUUGCAGAAUUCAGUGAAUCAUCGAAUAUUUGAACGCACAUUGCGCCCGCCAGUAUUCUGGCGGGCAUGCCUGUUCGAGCGUCAUUUCAACCCUCAAGCACAGCUUGGUGUUGGGACUCGCGUUAAUUCGCGUUCCUCAAAUUGAUUGGCGGUCACGUCGAGCUUCCAUAGCGUAGUAGUAAAACCCUCGUUACUGGUAAUCGUCGCGGCCACGCCGUUAAACCCCAACUUCUGAAUGUUGACCUCGGAUCAGGUAGGAAUACCCGCUGAACUUAAGCAUAUCAAUAAGCGGAGGA